rnacentral:rRNA from 1 species
UUCGCAAUGCCCGAAAGGGUGACGAAGCGACGCCGCGUGUGGGAAGAAGGCCUUCGGGUUGUAAACCACUGUCGGGAGUUAAGAAAUGCAAGGAUAUGAAUAGUGUCUUUGCUUGACUAAGGCUCCGGAGGAAGCCACGGCUAACUCUGUGCCAGCAGCCGCGGUAAUACAGAGGCGGCAAGCGUUGUUCGGAAUUAUUGGGCGUAAAGAGCACGUAGGCGGCUGUGUAAGUCGGUUGUGAAAGCCUUCUGCUUAACGGAAGAACAGCAUCCGAUACUGCAUAGCUCGAGUGCGGGAGGGGAGAGUGGAACUUCUGGUGGAGCGGUGAAAUGCGUAGAUAUCAGAAGGAACGCCGGCGGCGAAAGCGACUCUCUGGCCCGUAACUGGCGCUGAGUGUGCGAAAGCUAGGGGAGCAAACGGGAUUAGAUACCCCGGUAGUCCUAGCCGUAAACGAUGGGCACUAAGUAGAGGGGUUUU